UACGGAAGGCAGCAGUGGGGAAUAUUGCACAAUGGGCGCAAGCCUGAUGCAGCCAUGCCGCGUGUAUGAAGAAGGCCUUCGGGUUGUAAAGUACUUUUCAGUCGUGAGGAAGGUGUUAAGGUUAAUAACCUUAGCAAUUGACGUUAGCGACAGAAGAAGCACCGGCUAACUCCGUGCCAGCAGCCGCGGUAAUACGGAGGGUGCGAGCGUUAAUCGGAAUUACUGGGCGUAAAGGGCACGCAGGCGGUUAAUUAAGUUGGAUGUGAAAUCCCCGGGCUUAACCUGGGAAUGGCAUUCAAGACUGGUUAGCUAGAGUCUUGUAGAGGGGGUAGAAUUCCAUGUGUAGCGGUGAAAUGCGUAGAGAUGUGGAGGAAUACCGGUGGCGAAGGCGGCCCCUGGGACAAAGGACUGACGCUCGAUGUGCGAAAGCGUGGGGAGCAAACAGGGAUUAGAUACC
rnacentral:rRNA from 1 species